CAAAAUGUCUGACAUACAUGACCUAAAGGAGGAAGGAUUUAUUCUGACUCAUGGUCAUGGAGUCAGUCCAUGGUUGGCUGGCUCCAGGGCAGAAAUAUUAUGCCCGAAGGGUGUGGCGUGGGAAAGCUGUUUUCCCGGCUACAGCUGGGAGCAGAAGGCAGAAGAGCCAAAGAUGAAGCGGGCAGGAAUCAGACAUAGUCCCCAAGGUGAGGGCUUCAGGACCCACCAGACUGCUUCACCCAUCUCUUCUGACUCCUCCAAGCCAGUCAAGGUCCUGCCUCGCCCUGCAGAUGUCCCACCUCCUGCCUGUGUCGCCACACCAGGACCUCAGCAGUGGACAGCCUGUCUGCCUGUCCCCUGGGCUGUCCCAGCCACACCCAAGGGUCGGCACAGAGGAGGAACAGACCUUUGCCAUUCUCGGGGCCUGGGAAUUACACAAGUGCUGCCUUCUUACUCAACUUAAACACACGGAGGGUGUUUAUCCAGGAUGUGUGGAUGAUUUUUGUUUCUUGGUGGUUUUGAGGGGAAGGGUGGAUAUUUUCUUUGUUCUUAAGUAUGCAAAAAUUAUUUCUCCAUCCCUGGUAUUUCAGUUGGAAAAUACAUUUGAAAGGAAUGACUUGUGGGCUCGGGGUGCAGGUCAUGGGCAAAGCUGUGGGUUCCAUCCCAGUGUUGAAACAAGAAGGAAGAGAGGGAGGGAGGGAGGGAGGGAAGGAGGGAAAGAUUUAAUAUGUGUAGUCAUAGUUACGUAGAUAUAAAAAUCACGCCUUAUCCAUAAACAGCAUGCCAUUUUGAGUUGAAUUCACACUUAAAAUACAGACUUUUCUUUUUUCAAAUCAGGAAAGGUCCAGGUGUGUGGAGUAGCAUAGUCUCAUUUCCGAGCUCCCAGAACCCAGUUUUAUGACUUGGGUUGACUUAAUGCAAUAAAACAAAAUUAAGCACUGCUUGAUUGCUGUUUUUGUCCCAGUGCUGGGGAUGGAACCCAGGGGAUCACACGCACUAGGCAAGGGUCCCCCACCGAGCUACACCCCGGCCUACAAUUCCCUUAAACUGUUGGAGGUUUUUUUGAUUUUUUAAAUGGCAAUUAACAAAUGACAAAUGACAAUAGGCUGCUACAAAUAUGACUUUAUACUGAAAACAUUGUUUCUAAGAAUCGUGUAAAUAUUUUUUCAAAUUAAAACAAACUAGAGGGGUUUAUGUGCAAGUCAUUCAGUGGAAAACCUCUCAGAUGUGUGCUUUGACAUUUGUCGCUGAGGGGAAGCCUGGGUUUUCUUAGUUUUCUAAGAGAAAACUAGCUUUCUCCUCGUGUUGUCCACUUCCUGCAGGCUGAGGACAUGACUGUGUGGCAUGAAUCCUAGGGUUUGUCCAAAGGCCCCUCCCGUACUCUGAGUGGACGACAGGGAACUGGAAGCUCCAUUCUCCCACGCAGGAGAUUCAAUUUCUGUUAUAGAUUCCACUAGAAAAAUAACAACCAGCAUAUUCAUUAAGCUCUUCUUUGCUUCCUUAACUGUAUUUUCAUAUUUUUAUCCAACGUCUACCAGCGAUCUAGGCGUCUCGGUCAUCACCGAUUUCACGUCAUCCAUAUGACAUUCUACUUUUGUCCCCUGGCCAGGAUGAGACACACAGGACAUGUCCACAGACAGAUGCGCUCCUCACAGGCCCUGCUGUGACUUCUGAGCAGUUAUUUCCUAAUUCAAAGUGUGUUUUAUAGGUGGCCAAGUGUUACGACAUAGCACAGCGCCUGUGUGGAGUGCAGAAUAGCAUGCAUUGCUUGGGCAUAGUUCUUGCCUGAGCUGCUGUUUCUGGGAAUGCUUUACCUAUUUUGAGACUCGUACUUUCCCGGGCGCUUUUUGCUGUACAUGGAGAACACAUCCCCACAGAGGAGCCAAGCCAGCCAAGAGCCACUCCAUGUGGAACCUGGAAACGAACCCUGAAGCUACCCACCCUGGGCAGCUUGUCAACCCGUUUUCCUGACGUCAGUGUGGACAUCCUCUUGAAAAAGAUUUCUACUUAGAAUUAACUUAAAAGCGAGGCUCAUUUGCUUGAGUUUUACGUGACAAAAAUAACUUGUCAGUAUAUGUGUAUAUGAGUAAGAAUGAUUAUAGUUUGUAUUGGCAAUUGACGUACUGUACCAAUCAAUCCUCUUGCAUUAUCUCAAUUAAUCUUGGCAACUAUUGCACCUAUUUUAAAAUGACAAAUCAGGUGCCCUGUAACCUUCCUUGACUUAAGUUACCCAGCUGUCCGAUAGUGGAGCUGCCGUUUAAACCCAGGCAGCCUGAUUUUAGAACCUACCCCAUUCUGUCUUUUGCUAUGUAUUUGUGCAUGUGUGUGGAUAUAUACAUACACAUGCAUAUAUACACAUACACAUAAAUACACACGUGUCAUAUAAGCAUGCAUAUACUUAUUAAUAAAUGUGUAAAUGCUCAGAAAAAUCUUCUGGAAAGAUUUAAUUCUCCUCAACCGUGCGCUCUUGGGAGAGGCAUUUGAAAUUAGGAUCAAUGCUUACAUUAAUUCCACACAUUUCUCUAAUCAUUUUAAUCCCCAAAACAAACAUGCAUUAUUCUUGUAUUUUAAAAAGUAAGUUAUUGAUUUUGCUGUCUGUGUCCCCCUGGAAAUGCUUGCUGAAUAAUUGAAGAGCAAGUCAUAAAAUCUGGUAGAGACAAAACAGUUCACAGAGCCAGGGAUGUAGCUCAGUUGUUUUGCCGCCUGCUGCGCAAGCGCAAAGAUCCGAGUUUGAUCCCCGGUACCA
rnacentral:lncRNA from 1 species